rnacentral:rRNA from 1 species
AUUGAACGCUGGCGGCAGGCCUAACACAUGCAAGUCGAACGAGUGGCGGACGGGUGAGUAAUGUCUGGGAAACUGCCUGAUGGAGGGGGAUAACUACUGGAAACGGUAGCUAAUACCACAUACCAUCAGAUGUGCCCAGAUGAGAUUAGCUUGUUGGUGGGGUAACGGCUCACCAAGGCGACGAUCCCUAUCUGGUCGGAGAGGAUGACCAGCACCACUGGAAUUGAGACACGGUCCAGACUCCUACGGGAGGCAGCAGGGGGGAAUAUUGCACAAUGGGCGCAAGCCUGAGGCAGCCAUGCCGCGUGUAUGAAGAAGGCCUUCGGGUUGUAAAUUACUUUCAGCGGGGAGGCGUUACCCGCAGAAGAAGCACCGGCUAACUCCGUGCCAGCAGCCGCGGUAAUAC